CGCGGCCUAUCAGCUUGUUGGUGGGGUAAUGGCCUACCAAGGCGUCGACGGGUAGCCGGCCUGAGAGGGUGUACGGCCACAUUGGGACUGAGAUACGGCCCAGACUCCUACGGGAGGCAGCAGUGGGGAAUAUUGCGCAAUGGGCGGAAGCCUGACGCAGCGACGCCGCGUGAGGGAUGACGGCCUUCGGGUUGUAAACCUCUUUCAGCUCCGACGAAGCUUUUUAUGACGGUAGGAGUAGAAGAAGCACCGGCCAACUACGUGCCAGCAGCCGCGGUAAUACGUAGGGUGCGAGCGUUGUCCGGAAUUAUUGGGCGUAAAGGGCUCGUAGGCGGUUUGUCGCGUCGAGAGUGAAAUCCUGAAGCUUAACUUUGGGCGUGCUUUCGAUACGGGCAGACUAGAGGUAGGUAGAGGAGAAUGGAAUUCCUGGUGUAACGGUGGAAUGUGCAGAUAUCAGGAGGAACACCGGUGGCGAAGGCGGUUCUCUGGGCCUUACCUGACGCUGAGGAGCGAAAGCGUGGGGAGCAAACAGGAUUAGAUAUCCUGGUAGUCCACGCCGUAAACGUUGGGCGCUAGGUGUGGGGAUCUUUCCACGAUUUCCGUGCCGUAGCUAACGCAUUAAGCGCCCCGCCUGGGGAGUACGG
rnacentral:rRNA from 1 species